CUAAACCGUACACCCUAAACCUUAAAACCUAAAGCCAAAACGCAAAACCUUAACCUUAAACCUUAAACCCUGAAUCCUACUUUAACUUCCGGGUUCUUAUUGCGUUUCUAGUUUUUAUACUGAAUGAUAAACAAAACAUCAAGUCAAUUUGGACUACAAAAACACAAACCAAGCUUCUUCAUGAUUCUCAAAGCUUUGAUGGUGAACCCAAAGUUCUUAACAGUUUUUGGUUUUGAAUCGUAUAACAAGGAAGCACUACUUUACUCUUUGGGAUCUCGUUGAGGUUCUAGUUUUAUAUUCAAUCAUACACAUGACAUCUACUCAUAUUUCACUCUGAAAUGCUAACCCAGAUUCUUCUUGCUCUUCAAAGCUUUGAUGGUGUAGCCUAAGUCCGUAUGAUUUUUGGUUUUGGAUCUUCUAACAGGGAAAGAUAAAUUUAGGUUCAUAA
rnacentral:sRNA from 1 species